AAUCGCAGAUCAGCAUGUUGCGGUGAAUACGUUCCCGGGUCUUGUACACACCGCCCGUCAAACCAUGAGAGUCGCCAACACCCGAAGUCCACCUAGUGGCCUAAGGUGGGGGAGAUGAUUGGGGUUAAGUCGUAACAAGGUACC
rnacentral:rRNA from 1 species